rnacentral:rRNA from 1 species
CUAUGGGGGGCUGCAGUGAGGAAUAUUGCACAAUGGAGGAAACUCUGAUGCAGCAACGCCGCGUGGAGGAUGACGCAUUUCGGUGUGUAAACUCCUUUUAUAUGUCAAGAAAAUGACGGUAGCAUAUGAAUAAGCACCGGCUAACUCCGUGCCAGCAGCCGCGGUAAUACGGAGGGUGCAAGCGUUACUCGGAAUCACUGGGCGUAAAGGACGCGUAGGCGGGAUAUCAAGUCAGGUGUGAAAUCCUACAGCUUAACUGUAGAACUGCACUUGAAACUGGUAACCUAGAGUAUGGGAGGGGGAGAUGGAAUUAGCGGUGUAGGGGUAAAAUCCGUAGAUAUCACUAGGAAUACCUAAAGCGAAGGCGAUCUCCUGGAACAUAACUGAUGCUAAGGCGUGAAAGCGUGGGGAGCAAACAGGAUUAGAUACCCCCGUAGUC